rnacentral:rRNA from 1 species
UCCUACGGGAGGCAGCAGCAGGGAAUCUUCCGCAAUGGACGAAAGUCUGACGGAGCAACGCCGCGUGAGUGAUGAAGGCUUUCGGGUCGUAAAACUCUGUUGUUAGGGAAGAACAAGUGCUAGUUGAAUAAGCUGGCACCUUGACGGUACCUAACCAGAAAGCCACGGCUAACUACGUGCCAGCAGCCGCGGUAAUACGGAGGGUGCGAGCGUUGUUCGGAAUUACUGGGCGUAAAGCGCGUGUAGGCGGUUUGGUAAGUCAGAUGUGAAAGCCCCGGGCUCAACCCGGGAAGUGCAUUUGAAACUGCCUUACUUGAGUAUGGGAGAGGAGAGUGGAAUUCCCAGUGUAGAGGUGAAAUUCGUAGAUAUUGGGAGGAACACCCGUGGCGAAGGCGACUCUCUGGACCAAUACUGACGCUGAGACGCGAAAGCGUGGGGAGCAAACAGGAUUAGAUACCCUGGUAGUCCACGCCGUAAACGAUGAGAACUAGGUGUAGCGGGUAUUGACCCCUGCUGUGCCGAAGUUAACGCAUUAAGUUCUCCGCCUGGGGAGUACGGCCGCAAGGCUAAAACUCAAAUGAA